AGAGUUUGAUCAUGGCUCAGGAUGAACGCUAGCGGCAGGCCUAAUACAUGCAAGUCGAGGGGCAGCAGGGGUAGCAAUACUCGCUGGCGACCGGCGCACGGGUGCGUAACACGUAUACAAUCUGCCUUUAACUGGGGGAUAGCCCGGAGAAAUCCGGAUUAAUACCCCAUAAUACUUGAAAUGGCAUCAUUUUAAGUUGAAAGCUCCGGCGGUUAAAGAUGAGUAUGCGUCUGAUUAGUUAGUUGGUGAGGUAACGGCUCACCAAGACCACGAUCAGUAGGGGAUCUGAGAGGAUUAACCCCCACACGGAUACUGAGACACGGAUCCGACUCCUACGGGAGGCAGCAGUAAGGAAUAUUGGACAAUGCCCGCAAGGGUGAUCCAGCCAUGCCGCGUGCAGGAAGACGGCCCUAUGGGUUGUAAACUGCUUUUACACCGGAGAAAACCCCAGUACGUGUACUGGGCUGAUAGUAUGGUGAGAAUAAGCAUCGGCUAACUUCGUGCCAGCAGCCGCGGUAAGACGAAGGAUGCAAGCGUUAUCCGGAUUCAUUGGGUUUAAAGGGAGCGUAGGUGGCCUUAUAAGUCAGUGGUGAAAUCUCUCGGCUUAACCGAGAAAUUGCCAUUGAUACUGUAGGGCUUGAGUAUAGUUGCCGUUGGCGGAAUAUGACAUGUAGUGGUGAAAUACAUAGAGAUGUCAUAGAACACCGAUUGCGAAGGCAGCUAACGAAACUAUAACUGACACUGAGGCUCGAAAGUGCGGGGAUCAAACAGGAUUAGAUACCCUAGUAGUCC
rnacentral:rRNA from 1 species